UUUAUUUCCCAGGUUCCUUGGCAAUCUCCUGUCUGAACAUAUUGUGAAGCAAUCCCAGGCUGAUUUUUUUAAAGGCCUUUGGGAGGAAAAAAUAAUCAUCCCUGAUUUUGGUACUACCUACAAAUUAGAAAAUGGAACUUCCUGAGACCUGAGGGAUGGGGUUUGAUGAAGCGAUCCCAUUUAUGACGGUGAGCUUUCUAUCUGUCCUUUGGAACAAAAGGCUCUUCAGCAGGACAGAGCUUAAGUUCACAAACAGAAAAAAGGAAGAUGGCACAGCCACGGCUAAUGGGGAUGGCGGAAGUCAUAAAUGCCAGCACAGCUGUUUGACAAAGAUCCAGCAAAGCUGAGCCACAUGAUGGCCGCCAUGCUACCGUUGCUUUUCAUCUCCACCAUUGCAUACAUGAGAGACUUUUAGUAUUUUUACAGUUUGUGGAUAUUGGAUUUAUGGAAAAUUUCUUACGAAUCAUUUAUACCUUCUCCCAGUUAUGCUAUUUCCAAGCUUCCCCGAGAGAGUCCAAAACAUAUUAUUCCCUUAUCUACUUGAAGGUCUUCUUUAUGCCUUGGAGGUUGUAACACACAUAAAGAAGCCAGAGGUCUCUUUAUGAGGCUAUGAGACAUUUUUGAAACAUCUGUUCCUCUACUUAGUCAGUAACAAGAUAACCAAAAUGAAGUCAACGUAAAAAGGUGGUCUAGAGGAGUUGGCCACAGUUCAGAUUACAAGUCUGUUUCCACUAUACAUCCAGGAAAUCACAUGGCAUAGACAGCAACCAAGUUAGACUAGCUGAAGCUACCUCUGGCCUACACAGAGACUUAUACUGAUGGGCAAAAAAAAAAAAUGUAGAAAGAUGAUCAAAGUAUUCUCUAAAGAUAUAAAAUAUAAGCAUUGUAUUAUGCCAGAAUUUAAAUAAUAACUGUUGCAGUUUUGAGCUGAGGAUAUUUCUUGGGCAUUUGACCAUCUAGAGUUGGUAAUACACUGCUUGGAACAUGGCAGCCUGCCCAGGUCGGCUUAAAGAUUGUUUUGGUCAAAUGUCCUUGUAGCCACAGAAGCAACCAGCCUGAGAACAACUUUUCAUAUGUCUCUAGAUUCUUAAAAAUUGAGUUAUCGGGUUAAUGAGUAAAAAUGAUAACUCUUUAUUAAUGAUGUUAAAACUUGAGGGAAAAUGAUUGGAAAUCAUAACUCUGUUUUGUUAUAGCUUAUUAAUGAUGAUUAAAAGAUGAACAAAAGAAGUGAGACACAUGUCCAAAACAAAAAUUAUAUGAUCUUUAUUUUGGAGCAACAUGAAUGUAAUCCUACUUACUAAAUUCUGUAUAAAUAAAAAAGCACUCUGGCUGCCAGUCAGUCAGGCUGCAAGA